rnacentral:rRNA from 1 species
CCUACGGGUGGCAGCAGUGGGGAAUAUUGCACAAUGGGGGAAACCCUGAUGCAGCGACGCCGCGUGAAUGAAGAAGUAAUUCGGUAUGUAAAGCUCUAUCAGCAGGGAAGAAAAUGACGGUACCUGAGUAAGAAGCCCCGACUAACUACGUGCCAGCAGCCGCGGUAAUACGUAGGGGGCAACCGUUAUCCGGAGUUACUGGGUGUAAAGGGAGCGUAGACGGCAGUGCAAGUCUGGAGGGAAAGGCGGGGGCUCAACCCCCGGACUGCUCUGGAAACUGUACGGCUGGAGUGCAGGAGAGGUAAGUGGAAUUCCUAGUGUAGCGGUGAAAUGCGUAGAUAUUAGGAGGAACACCAGUGGCGAAGGCGGCUUACUGGACUGUAACUGACGUUGAGGCUCGAAAGCGUGGGGAGCAAACAGGAUUAGAUACCCUUGUAGUC